UGAACCCGUAGCCUCAUAUCCACUCAUGCUAACCCUACCCGCCCCUCCCCCAAUUUCCGCCGCCGCUGUCCUCGACCUCGGGGUCUCCGUCCUCGGACCCUCCCCUGCCGCCACCGGCGCCCAUAAACCCGAGCUCCCGACCCCCUCCGUCGCCUGCCUUCCCCAUCCCCUUCGCUGCCACCACCACAUGGGCAUCUUCGCUGGUCUGAGUCCCCGUCGACGCUGGUGAGCAUAUCCUAGAUCCCCUGACCCCCAUCCGCUGCAAGCCUUCCCCGGUGCUGCAGCCGCCAACAGCUCCGACCACCGAGACCAUCACCGACCACCGCUAGCGCUCAUGAAGAACCAUGUCAGCGCCCUCCUCUUCCUUCUCUUAGGAAAGGAUCUCUUCUCCAACAAGCUCGUCCACACCUCCACCAGUGGAUCUAUUUGUCACUCAAAUAUGCCUAGUUAGUUGUAUCUAUUUGUUUGAUCUGAAAAUCUCUAGUCUGUUAUAUGAUGUUUUAUUUCAUUGAAAAUGCUAGGGAUCUGGAAAAAAAAAUUAUGUUACUCUGUUAUGGGUCUGGUGUAACUCUAAUGCUGAUGCAAUAUUUUUCUCAUUACAGACUAUUCACUCAUUUAUUUCUCUGUGAAAAUGGUCAUGAGUUCUCUGUGAAAAUGGUUAUUAUUUGUCUAUAAAGAUGUUUCUUACUUCCUUUUAUUGCCGCCAUAUAAUAUAAGUUAUAACCCCAGACUGAGCUGAGCUGCCUCCACACCAAGGCCUUCCAUGAUCUUCUCUAUAUCUCAACUUUGCUACCCAUCCUACUUGCUAGAUUUUCGAGCACCUCAGUUUUCUGGAUCAACUUAAAUCCACAUCAGUGUGUCACGAGGUCUCGUGCAUACAAGUUUCAUGCAGUUAUAUGUAAAAUCCACAUCUAAGACUGCCAAUUUCCAGUGAACUUUUUCUGCAGUUCAUGGUAUGGAGUUUGGGUAUGAAGCCAUGAAUAUCCGACCAACGGAGUGUUCCAAGUAGAACCGAAAAGUUGUUCCAUUUUUUAUCUUCAGUCGCUCUGUUUGCAAUGGAACUGUAACCAUUUCACAACUGACGUCUACAACCACUUCACGGGAAAGCCAACUCCUAGAUGGGUGAAUCGACUUGCCAGAUUAGCACUAUGUUCCAUCCGCAACUCCGUGCUGACUGAAAACAUCAAGGUUUCAGUGGUUAGAGGUGAAACUGCACACCUUGAAUUCUCUGCCGAGAACCACAACCACCAGCAUGCAGCUCAAGCAAUGGGCGGAGGAGGGAUGGUUGCCCACAUCAGGUAAAGCGAAUGGUGGAUGGAAGGCUACCUUGUAGGGAACCAGGGCCACAACUUGAAGUGGGCAACCGGUGGCGAAUGGAGGGCUUCCUCGUCGGGUUCCUGAACUAUUAGGUACUUACCCAACUGGUGCACAUGGAUGUGAUGACUUUGUAUCGUUUAUGAACCAACCUACCUGUAAUCAUGGAUAUUACGUGUGUUGUAGACCAUUUGGUGUUUCAGAGCUUGCACUUUGUGAAUGUAGAUAGAUGCUACCUCUUGAGUUUGUGUUGGAUUUCCCUGAAGAGGAAAGGAUGAUGCAGUAGAGUAGCAUAA